rnacentral:rRNA from 1 species
AUUGAACGCUGGCGGCAUGCCUUACACAUGCAAGUCGAACGGCAGCACGGGAGCUUGCUCCUGGUGGCGAGUGGCGAACGGGUGAGUAAUACAUCGGAACGUACCCAGUAGUGGGGGAUAACGCACCGAAAGGUGCGCUAAUACCGCAUACGACCUACGGGUGAAAGCGGGGGACCGUAAGGCCUCGCGCUAUUGGAGCGGCCGAUGUCUGAUUAGCUAGUUGGUGAGGUAAAGGCUCACCAAGGCUUCGAUCAGUAGCUGGUCUGAGAGGACGAUCAGCCACACUGGGACUGAGACACGGCCCAGACUCCUACGGGAGGCAGCAGUGGGGAAUUUUGGACAAUGGGCGAAAGCCUGAUUCAGCAAUGCCGCGUGUGCGAAGAAGGCCUUCGGGUUGUAAAGCACUUUUGUCAGGGAAGAAAUCUUUUAGGCUAAUACCCUGGAAGGAUGACGGUACCUGAAGAAUAAGCACCGGCUAACUACGUGCCAGCCACCGCUGUAA